rnacentral:lncRNA from 1 species
GCUAUCUUUGGGGAUUGGGCUAUUGACUGGAAAGGGACAUGAAAAAAUCUUCAGGGUAGAUUCCUGGUUGCCUGGGAACCACCAGAGCCUGGGAAGAACCUGAAGAGCUGGAUGGAUUCAGUCCAAGGAGAGAAAGGGUAUCCACAGAACCCCAUGUUAUGGCUCUGCUCCUGCAAGAGGUCUUCAGAGCAACUCAUGGACAACUUCAUAACACUGACAACUUCACAACAGUCCUAUUACUAUAGCUAGCCUGAAUGAAUGGCCAUGUAAGAGUCCCGAACAACAGACUGCUUCCAGUAGAACUGUUCUCCAGUGGCUUGAAACCAGCCAUAGCCACCAGAAUCUGCACUGCUUUCCUCUAUCCAUCAUCACCAUCCCAACCUUGGCCGAGCAGUCUUGCUCCAUAUAACAGGACAUCUGACCAAAUUCACAUCCUUCAAACUUUGGAACCAAUGACCACAGCCAAGAAGACACAACAUUAUGACCACCUGAUCCUGAGUGGUUUGGCCAAUGCUUUGACCAGAAACAUGGGAUAUGGUACCAAAGAAAGUAGGGAAAGUAACCAUACCUAUCUUUACCACUUUCCCUGCAUAUUCAUUCUAUAAGUAUAUUCAGUACCUACUAUGGACCAGGCACUGUACUGGGCUCUGAGCUUGCAACGGUGAGCAAACUCAAUAUAGUCCCCACCCCCACUGAGCUUACAGUUGAGACAUUUUAGCUGACUUUAGAAACAAGCUAGCUAACAUCUCUGAACUUCACUUAUCACUGUAAAAUGACAAUAAUAGUAUUUAUCUUUCAUUGUCACUGCAGGGAAAAUUAGAUGUGGCUUCCAACGUUCAGCAUUACUAGGUCAAGCUGUGUGCUAUGGCCAGGGGUGGCAGUCC